UCCGUAGGUGAACCUGCGGUUGGAUCAUUAACAAAUGAUUUGGUUUUUAACCAAAACACUGUGUGCAAUCAUAUCUGUCUCUGGUGGUCUAACCUUCCCUGUUCGCAGGGAUAUCUUGACCACCAAAUGAUGAACAAACCAUUGUAUUUAUUUUUUCAAGUCUGAAUCAUUCACUUUUGUGCAAUGAAAAAACAACUUUUGACAACGGAUCUCUUGGCUCUCGCAACGAUGAAGAACGCAGCGAAUUGCGAUAAGUAAUGUGAAUUGCAGAAUUCAGUGAAUCAUCAAAUCUUUGAACGCACAUUGCGCUUUUCGGUAUUCCGGAAAGCAUGCCUGUUUGAGAAUCGAUCAACUCUCACCAGCCGAAUUCUGCGACUUGCCGUUCAAUUCAUUCAUUUGUCUUGUUCAGUCUGAUGCGGUCGGUUGAGUGGAUUUGGGUCUUUUGCGAUUUGUUUUGCAAUGACCUUCAAUUGAAUGUAUGACCAACAUCUGCUGAUGGUACUAUAAUUUGAGUGCAUGAAUAAGGAUUUUCCUUUUUGAUUUCUCUCGAUCCUGGUGCAAUCUUUGGGCAUUUUGGCGGGGACAUCUCCAAAUUUCAUUUUCAGGCUCGGUGGAUUCAUUUGGAUUCACGGUUCUGGACACUUGGGGGUCUCAAUCAGGUAGGAAAACCCGCUGAACUUAA
rnacentral:rRNA from 1 species